CUGGUGUUUGGGAAGGAGCCUCGAUCCCUUUACAGCACCUGUAUCAGACAUACUGAAUUUCCUUUCCACUUUGUUUUCCAACGGAAAAUCAUACCGAUCCAUUAACGUUACACGAUCCGCUAUAUCGGCGGCUCAUGUUCCAGUUAACGGGACUCCAGUGGGCCAGGAAGCCUUAAUAUGUCGACUAUUACGAGGGAUCAAAUUGGCUAGACCACCGACACCGAGGUAUC